rnacentral:rRNA from 1 species
GAUGAACGCUGGCGGCGUGCCUAAUACAUGCAAGUCGAGCGAACAGACGAGGAGCUUGCUCCUCUGACGUUAGCGGCGGACGGGUGAGUAACACGUGGAUAACCUACCUAUAAGACUGGGAUAACUUCGGGAAACCGGAGCUAAUACCGGAUAAUAUAUUGAACCGCAUGGUUCAAUAGUGAAAGACGGUUUUGCUGUCACUUAUAGAUGGAUCCGCGCCGCAUUAGCUAGUUGGUAAGGUAACGGCUUACCAAGGCAACGAUGCGUAGCCGACCUGAGAGGGUGAUCGGCCACACUGGAAGUGAGAAACGGUCCAGACUCCGACGGGAGGCAGCAGUAGGGAAUCUUCCGCAAUGGGCGAAAGAUUGACGGAGCAACGCCGCGUGAGUGAUGAAGGUCUUCGGAUCGUAAAACUCUGUUAUUAGGGAAGAACAAAUGUGUAAGUAACUAUGCACGUCUUGACGGUACCUAAUCAGAAAGCCACGGCUAACUACGU